GGGGCGCCCCCAGCGGCCGCGGCCUGCAGCGCACGGCGGGGCGGAAGCCGGAGGGAGGGCGGGGACUUUGUGGGCGGGCGCGGGCUUGGCCGCGGACUCUAACCCGCGACGGCAGUUAGCACGUCACGCCUUUCUGGGGUUAAAAAAAGACAAACCCGACAGAGAAAGCUUCCUUCUACCGCUUCCUCUCCGCCUUUCUUUUCAGUUUUUGCACCGCCUCCUUUCUCCCCCACCCCCUCCAGUGGUUUCUUUCCUUUGGGUUUGAGAGCCAUGGGUUAAUAGAGGCAAUUAAAAUCUCAGCGUUGUUUUGGUCAAAUUGAAAUCCUAAAACUAAAAUUUCCGUUAGGUACUCUAAAUUCACGAGCCUUCAAAUAUAAAAGGAAGAUAAGGUAGGAAAAAGGAAAAUGAUGUGCUGAGGGACUAUCAAGGGCCCAGGCACCGUACUGCUGCAGGCGCUUUCUCUGGGGUAUAGCUUAUCUAGUUCCUGUCACCCAGGACAAAAGAUAAAAGAGCAAAGAAGCAGUUAAAAUAAUACCCUCCCUUUAAAAAUUUGUCUGUCUAUACUGAGAACUGAAAUGCUUAAAAUCAAAUUCUGCAGGCAGUCUGGCAUGGCUACGCUGUAAUCCCAGCUACUCGGGAGGCUGAGGAGGGAGGUUAGCCUGAGCCGGGGAAGCGGAGCUUGCAAUGAUCGGAGAUCGCGCCACUGCACUCUAGCCUGGGCAACAGAACAAGCCCCUGUCUUAAAAACAAAACAAAAUCUUCAGAGCAGGCUUAAAAAAAAAUCUCCCUAGGGGAAUAACAAUUACCUGCCUUCUGUAAUCAUGCAUGUAUUGUUACAAUGAAUGUUACAAAGUUGGUUACGUGAUGUUCAUGUUUUUAAACUGAGUUAUUGUCAUUUUCACUCAGAUUCUGCCACAGUAAUUCUGAAAGGGUUUAAUUGAAAAUAUUUUCUUUCUCAGUUUACUCGUUUACUCAUUCAUUCAUAUAAAAAAAUUGCUUAAAAUGUCAAUCAUCGGCUAGACCCCAUAACCAAAAGCCAAUAACUGCCCUCAAGAAUUUUACAAUCUAGUGAGGAAGACAUGUUUAGACAGGUCAUUAAAAAAACACAACCUAGCACCAAGCUAUGUAGAACUCAGAGAAGCAAUUAAUUGAAGUUAAUCAGUUUUCUGAAUUUCAAAGGAUGAAAAUGAUUUGGGACAAAGUGGGGUAAGUUGUUCUAGGAGAAAUAAAUUAAAAAAAAAAAAAGAUUCAGAGGCAGGUUCGGGGGUGGGGAUUUGGUAAUGGAUAAAGCUUCUUACCCUGCAGGACAGGGGGCAAAGACAGUGAGAUGCAUUUGGGGACUUUGAGAUUUGUCAUUUAGAGCACUGGAUGAAUGUUAAUUUCAUUGACUGAACAUUGAAAGCAAGAGGAGGGCAGGUUGGGAAUGGAAGAGAUAAUGAGUCUUUAUGGGAUCUGCUUGCAGUACAUCUAGGGAGAGAGAGGCAGCCUUAGCUCAUAAAAAUGCAUUGGCAAUUGAAAAUAUACAUUUGGGAAUUGAGGUAAUCGCUGAUGGCUGAAGCCCAAAAGGUGGAUAAGGAUGAGUUACUCUGAAGAAUAUUUAAAGGGUAGGCAAAGAGGAGAUCGUGAAGGUGCCUAAGAACAAGCAGUCAAGAGAAAAAGGAGAUGAAGAAAGAGAUGGCCUGGAAGCCCAGACGGUUUUAAUCAUGUAACAUUCGUAGUUACAAAGUUCUAUUGUGUGCCAGGCACUAUGCUGGGUACUAGAGAUGCAAAUGAAUAAGACAUAGGGGCUUAUAAAGGAAUGGAGAAAAACAGAGAUAUGCAAACAGAUCAACUAAAGUGUGUGUGUGUGGUAUGUGAGUAUGUGUGUGUGAGAGAGAGAAGAGAGAGAGAAAGAAAGAGAGAGAGCAAUCUGUGAUCCAUGUAGGACAGAGGACCAUUUCAAGAGAGUGCUGCAGAGCAGUCCCAGAGGAUUUGGACUGAAAAGAAGCUACUGAAUUGAAGGUCUAGGAGGUCAUUGGUAAUCUUGGCAAGAGAAGUCAUCAUAAAAGAUAGUGACAAAGUAAGAUGAAAAGUGACAAAGUAAGUGAAAAGAUGACAGUGAAAAGUAAGAUAGUGACAAAGUAAUGUGGGUAAAUAAAAAUUAUAUUUUUAUUGAUGUUUUUCUGAUUUUUUUGUCAGCGAAUGAAAAGAGAGAGAGAAUGGUGACCAGAGGAGGACAGUUCAAUCUUUUUCAAUAACAUUCAGGAACUAUCCAAUAUUUAUUGAGUGUCUAUUAGGUGCCAAGCACCUUAAUAGGUCCUAUGGAUUUGAAAUGCCGUCCCUGUCUUAGAUCUCACGGUCUACUGGAGGACACAGAGAAGUAAGCAGGCAGUUGCAGUACAAUGUAACACUGAGUGCUGUCUGUGUAUGAUGGUGAGUGGAGACUGCUGUGGGAGACUAUAAAAGCUAACAGGGAUAAGUAGUAGGUUUAUGGAAUGCCUUCUAGGGUAAGUGAAGCCUGAAUUCAGGCCUUUAAGCUGAGGCCUGAAUAAUGAGCAUGGGUGGGGAGCAGUUUCCAGGAAGGAGGUAGUGUCUGUGCAGAGGCUCAAAGGAAGAGAGACCAUGUUGCAGAGGGAACUGAAAUUAGUUCUGUCUGGCUGCAACUUAGAGUUGGGUACAGUGACAGGGGUUAACAAAGAGCCAUUGAAGUUUUAAAGAAGAAGCAUGAUAUAUUCAGAUUUACAUUUUGUAAAGCUCUUCUACUUUAUAAAAUGGAAGAUAGGAGACAGUCUGUUACUGUUUUUUAGACUCAUGGUUUGAUUAUUAAACCCCUGAUAGGAGUCAUAGUCAAGGCAGGAAACAGAUAUCAUAUUCAAUGUGUUUAAAUGGGGAAAAUUUAAUGAAAGGACUCUUCACAGAGUUGACAGGGUAAGGGACCCACAGUCUGGUGAGAAGUUGAAAGGAAGAAGGGAUAAAUAUCCUGAUUUCUCUCACCUCCUACUUUCUGAUCUCUUGGUGGUGCUUCCCAUGAUCCAAAACCAACCAAGGCCAGAGGGUAGAGGGGCUCGGAACAUGCAGUUCAUACAGGACAGACUCCUGGGGCACAAAGUAGGGCACUGAAAGGUAGAGAAUGGUUGGAGGUAAGGGGAUGGAAAGCCACUAGCACACAAAGGAUACAGUCAGGGUUCACCAUAGGAAGCUGAAACCACUCUGGAUGUUUCAAAAAAAAAAAAAAAAAGGGAUUUCAUUCAGGCACUUCACUGCUUCUGAAAUCUGUGGAAGGGCUGAAGGGGUUGAGGUCAGCAGACUGUCGAAUUCAAAGUCACAUGCUUUGUGGUAAACAUUACUAGUGUUCACUAGUAUCCGGUCCUCCUUGAUUUCUGAGCAUAUGGGAGUUUACAGUUCCCAAUUCCCUUGCGGUUAGUGGGGCCUUGUGAUGAGGUCUAGCCAAUAAAAUGUGAGAAGUAACACGUCACUUCCAGGAUGAAACAGUGAAAAGCCUUUGAGCAGUUCUCUAGACUACCUCUUCCCUGCCACAAUAGUUAUAGAGGAGACCUUGGGUUAAGAUGUAGCAGCCACAAGAUUGAAGCAGCCCAGAUUUCUUAAGUCAGCACAUGGAGAGCAACUGCCCACACCUGCAGGAAACAUUUUGUCUGUGAGAAAGCAACUUUUAUUAUAUGAAGCCACUGAGAUUUUGGGGGAUGCUUGUCACUACAGCAUAAGUCUAGUUUAUUCUGACUAACAUACACUGCAGCUGGGAUGGGAAGCUGACACUAGAACACUGCUACUGCUGCUGCCACCACCACUGGCUCACACCUGUCAAGACUAUGAGGAGUCUGAAUGCCACAGGCAUGUCAUCACACCUUGCUUGCAAGUGACACAGCAGUAAGAAGAGAGCCUCCAUUUCACUUGCACCUGUGUUUUCAUAAGGAAAUUUAUUUGGCAGGCCUUAUUUGCACCCAAAAAUUGAGUGGCAAAGGAGUCUGAGAAAUGUAAUUUUCAGCUUUCCAACUUCUUCAGAUAGGAUGGUGGAAUGAAUGUUGAGGCUAAGUAUCUACUCCAGUACUUAUAAUUCAAGUUUCUUAAAGGCAGGGAUGGUUUGCUGAUCAUCUUUGUAUCUUUUCUAAAUAGCCCAGUACCUAGUGGGUAUUCAAUACAUGUUUCUUGAAAUGACCUGAAUUUAUAGACCUAUCCUAAGUGUGUUAACUCUCAGGUAAAACAACAGAGUGAAUAGACAUGUGCUAAGACUGCUUACUGCCAGAGGUGUGACAAUUCUUACAGGUUUAUUCAAUUCCCUUGAAAAGCAUUUACUACCCCUUAAAAAUGCGUACACUCCCCCUUUACCUCUCCCCUACAAAAAGGAUAUUUAAGUCUCAACCCUCUGGUCUUUCUUUGAGUCUCAUAUUCGCAGGACUACUCUGUCCAUGUGCACUGAUAAAUUUGUAUGCCUUUUCUCCUGUUAAUCUGUCUAUUGUCAGUCAUUUCAGCAAAGCUUCAGAAGGCAGAGGGGAAGCUUUCCCAUCAAUCUUAUACCUACAAUAAUUUGGUAAGAAAGUAAGAUAUCUAUGAAACCCAUAGUUCUAUAAGAGGUUGAAAAAUGGAAUGUUAGUAGGUUAUAUUUAUGGCUGCAUUCAGUAAGAUAUUGGAAACAUAAGAUGAACUCAUGCAAUAAUUAGCAGGUUUGCAAGCAUAAAUUAAAAGGAAUAUAGAGAGUCCAGAAAUUUGGAGCCUCAAGGGAUGGGAAAAACUAACUGCUCUAUACCUCAAAGAAUAGGAAAUAAGAUUGAAAAAGCUCUUGAGCAACAAGGGCCCAUUAAGACUCAGCCGUGAAACAAAGAUUAUAUUUAGGGUGUGGUCUUCACAUUUAAGUCUGAUGUUCUCAAAGUAGCCUCCUUAAAUUGAGAGGAAGAGAGGAGUGAAGAAGCAAAGAGAUAAUCAGGAUUGAGAAUUAUCUCUAGGAAACCUCAGUGUUUCUGGCAUAUGGAACUGACUGGAAGCAAAAAGAUCAAAUACUUUUCAGUUUUUGAACUACUGUAUUGCUAAAGAAAUCAUGAGCCUGCGUUAAAAGUUGUACUCUCCUCAAGAAAGUCACGUUCCUCGACACUCAUUUUAAAUGUGGGCUUAGAGGAAAAAUUUCCAGAGGGCAGAGCCAGGGACCACAGAGGACAACAGAUAAGCAGAUUCCUCACAGAUAAUGGAAACAGGGUGUAGCUGAGAAACAGCUCCCACUGCCAGCUCAGAGCCAUCACAAUGCCUCCCUGCAAAAUUUCAUUUUUGUGAUGGGCCAGGGUCCCACUUUUCCCCCUUUCCUACCUGGAAGUAUUUACUAUAUUUGUUCUAUCAUUAUACAUUGUGUGUGAGUGAGGGAAGAUAUUUUAUUAGUUCAUAAGCCACAGCUCUAAUUGAAAUGUUAGACUGGACAAUUCUUUACAGUGGGGCUGUCCUGUAUAUUGUACGAGGUUUAGCAGCCUCCCUGGCCCCUACCCAUCAGUUGCCAGUAUCAUCCCCCUCACUCCCAGUUGUGUUAAUCAAAAAUGUCUUCAGACAUUGCCUAAUAUCUCCUGGGGGACAAAAUCAUUCUUAGUUGAGAAUAACUGGGUUACAGGACGAUGUGGAAUUAUAUUCAGAUCUGACUGAGAAUUCUGUGCAUUACAUGGAAAUCCUGCACUUUGAACUUGAUGCAGUGACUGGGUGGAUUUUAGGUUAUCUCAUUUGGUGACAAUAAUGAGUGUAUUAUUUAUUUGGGAAGAAGAGUGAAAUGGCUUUUUUUUGGUAUCAGAUGGAUGGACUAUGGCAUAGAUGACUAGGUCAUGACCAAACCUGUUUUCUUGAGUACACAGUUCGACUAUGUUUUCCAGUUUCCCUUGCAAUUAGGUGCUGCUGCAAGACUGAGUUCCAGCCAGUGGAAUGUGUGCAACUUCCAGGCCUGGCCCAUAAAAACCUCUUGCAUAUGACCCUUUCACUCUUCUCCCAUCUGAUAGCUGGAUGUUGACGUCAAGGAUGAUGCUAGACGCCAGAUGUGGAAGAUAGAAAAGCCUCUACCUGCCUGGGUCCCUAUUGGCAAUUUAUAACCAGGAAAUCGAUCUGUGAGGUUAAGUGAGAAAUUAGCAUUUAAUUUGCUGUGUGUGAUUUUAAACAUUACUGUUUUAAAAAAUUGUGGAAAAAUACAUAUGACAUAAAAUUGACCAUGUUAACCAUUUUUAAGUGCACAGUUCUGUGGCAUUAAGUACAGUCACAUAGUUGUGCAACCAUCACCCCCAUCCUUCUCCAGAAGUCUUUUCAUCUUGCAAAACUGAGAUUCUGUACCCAUUUAACAAUAACUCCCCAUUCCCUGGAAACCACUCUUCUACCUUGCGUCUCUAUGAAUGGAAUCACACAAUAUUUGUCCUUCUGUAACUGGCUUAUUCACUUAAACAUUUAAUCUUUUAAGCCACUGAAAUUUGGGAUGUGUUUGUUAUAACAGCUAGAAUUACAUACUGUAUGCCUGGAACAGAGCAGAUCCUCAAAUAAAUGUUUGCUGAGUAAGUGAACAUUCAAAUAUUGUUAAUUUGAAACAUAUGUUUAGGACAUUAUGUUGUAUUUAAUUUAUAAAUUUAUAUUGUUUUAUAAUGAUAUAAAAGUUAUAAGAUAUUUAAUUUUAUGUGUAAUAUACACUUAGGUAACAUUAUAAUUAUGAUAAUUUAAAUCAACAUCAGGAGUCCAUGACUUUUUACCCCAUACAUCAUUUAUUUUUGGGAAAAACUGCUAUAUUGGGUUGUUUGAAAAAGCAUAUAUUCUAAGAAAACUGAAUCAAGUACUUGCUUUAAUUUUCCAUUGCCUAAAACCAAACUUGACUAGAGUUGUUGAGGAUUCAUUAUCAGAUAAUGACCUAGGAGCUUGAAUAAUUACAUUCCCAGCCAAGCAAAAAGUUUUUUAGUUUACAUCAAAGGGAAUAUGACAGUUAAAAAAAAAAAACCAGCAACAAAAAAAAGCCUCUCUCUUUGGCCUAUGGUUGAAUAGGGAUGUUAUUGAUACCUAAAUACUGACAUUUUAUCAUCUUGAUUACUAGUCUGUCUGACAGGAGAAUAAAGGCUUUCAAGGAAAGAACCAGAUACUUUCUGAGGCACCUCCUUUAAUUCUAAAACUUGAUCUCUUUCAUAACUAGUUCUUUUUCAUCUAAUUUUCAAAUUUCUAUGGGAAGAUGGCAAAUUGCCUUUGUAAUUCUUAAAAGCAACACUAGAUUAUAUACUUUUCUAUCAGAAACCACAAUAUUUGUUCUAUAACUUCUUUCCAGUCAAGACAUAUCUAGAGUGGAUCAAAAAGUGUUCUUUGAGUAAUUGUAAUAUCUCUAAGAACUCUAGACUGAUAGCAUGUGGGUGAUCUCAACUCCAAUUUUGCCCCCCACUUCCUUGCCUCCUUCACAUUCUAAUGUUAGGAUAGCUAUGGGGAUGAUCACUUCCUAACCUCAUAUAAUUAUUCCUGUCCCGCCAAGCAGAACUGGAUAGCUCUUUCUGGGAAAUACUAAAUACUAAUUUUAUAAACACAUACAUUUAUGGAAGUUGUAGAAAGUAGGCUCUUUCUCUAAGAAAGAGCAUUUUAGAAAAUACUGAUGCUUUCUAAAACAGUUGCGAAAAUCUUUUAAGAAUUUAAACCAAACCCACCUUAAAUUCCAAAUCUGGAAAAUCUUAGUAAUUUGUUGAUUUACUUUGCUUAUAUAACCUGUACAUAUGUGUAUGUGGAAAUGCUUGGGAGAUGUGUGUUUUUUUCCAAUUAGUCUGGUUCCCAUCUCCUUAGAGGUGCACUAUAUCAUGUUUUCUGUCAUUGUACUUUUUUCUUUCUUAAGACCAAUUUUCUUGCAGUUCUUUGGUACGCACUCAAUAGCUGGUGAUGUUGUAUUAAAAUAUGGCCUUUGUUUUUAAAUUUAAAAAAUCCCCUUUGUUUUUUGAAAAAAGUAACUUGUUGAUUUGGAUCCAAAUAAUUUUCAAAAAUUAAUAAACCAAAGAGGAAUGCUUUUAAAAAACCAAAGCAAAAAGCACAUUUGACCAGAGCCUAUGCUGUGCCUUUUCUAAGUAAAUGGUCACAAGACCAGAAUACUAUAAUAUUUUAUUUAGUUAGAUACCUGGAAAGUAUUUUUAAAAUUAGCAUUAUUUUUUCUUUCUAUACCAGAGGUACAGAACUUCCAGGUACAUUUUUUUAACCUGUUAUAUAUAUUUUUAUCAAACAUGCAAAUUGAUCAAGUAAAAUACAAAAAUAAAAUCACUUCUAUGACAAUCAUAACACAAAGACGAUGUUUCCCCUAAUAUCAUACCAUAAGCUCAUAUGGAGCUUUAAGUUAGGGCCACAUACAGUUAGAAUUCUGAAAUGAAUCAGAGGUAUGACUCAACAACAAUGGAUAUUGAUCUAGGAGUUCCCAGUUUUAAUCUCAGUUCUGCUUCUGAUGGUUUAAUUUUGAGCAAGUGACAACUUCCCUGAGCUCAUUCUGUUGUGCAAAGUGAGAGAAAUACUCUAGAUCAACACUGUCCAAUAGAACUUUCUGCAAUAAUGGAAAUAUUCUCUGCUCUGUCCAAUAUGGUAGUCACUAGCCACAUGUGGUGACUGAACACUUUAAAUGCAGUAGGUGUGACUAAAUAACUGAUUUUUAAAUUUUGUUUAAUUCUAAUUAAUUUAAAUACCCACAUGUGGCUAAUGGCUAUAUUGGAUAGCAGAGGCCUAGAUUCACUCUCAUUCACUCACUUAGCAAGCAUUCAAGUGCCUGCAAUCUGCCAAGCAAGCAUCUGGCUAGGUGGGGAAGGUGUGUCAUCACAACAUCUUUGUCUUCAAGGAGUUAACUUGAAGAAAACUAAGUACUUUGCUAGUACAUGUGCUUCAAUAAGCAUAUGCAAAAAGCUGUGCGUACUCAUAGAGGAGAGAGCAAUAAACAGAAGGUAUAUCAUUUCUAAGGUCCUCUCCAGCUCUAAAAUUAUGUAACUAUAGAUAUAUAUGCAUCUAUAUAUCCACAUAUCUAUGUAUAUCUAUAUCUAUGUAUAUAUAUUCGAUAGAUAUAUACUUAGAUAGAUCUAAAUGGAUAUAUAUUCAUAAAUAUAUAUGGAUAUACCUCUGCUAUCCAAUAUUCUAAUAUAUAAAUAUAUUUAAAUAUA
rnacentral:lncRNA from 1 species